rnacentral:rRNA from 1 species
GUGCCAGCAGCCGCGGUAAUACGGAGGGUGCGAGCGUUGUCCGGAAUCAUUGGGUGUAAAGGGUGCGUAGGCGGGCUGCUAAGUCUGGGGUGAAAUCCUGCCGCUUAACGGUAGAAUGGCCCCCGAUACUGGCAGUCUUGAGUACAGAAGAGGUCGGUGGAAUUCGUAGUGUAGCGGUGAAAUGCAUAGAUAUUACGAAGAACACCAGUGGCGAAGGCGGCCGGCUGGUCUGUAACUGACGCUGAGGCACGAAAGCGUGGGGAGCGAACAGGAUUAGAUACCCUGGUAGUCCACGCUGUAAACGAUGUAUGCUAGGUGUCGGCCUUUCGGGGUCGGUGCUGCAGUUAACGCAGUAAGCAUACCACCUGGGGAGUACGUCGGCAACGAUGAAACUUAAAUGAAUUGACGGGG